rnacentral:lncRNA from 1 species
GAAGCAGAGCCCAAAGGAAGCAGCUGCAUGUUGCUGAUGGGAGUCCAGAGCACAUCUUUUCCAUGAUACUCAUGAGGCCCCAGACCAAGCAGUUCAGGGAAUAAGAUUUUUCCCUUCUGCUUCCUCAUAUCAAAGCUUGUAAUUCAACAUUAUGUUCUGCCACGGAUCUGAACAAGGGUGAAGUUUAACUGGUUCCAUACUGCAUCUCCUCCAGUCAGUCAAGGGUUUAGCCUGAGCCUGUUUGCAAAUAAAUCAAUGCAACAGAAGACUUUUCCCUUAAAUACAUUUAAGUCGGAGCUGUAAAAAAAAAAAGUGAGACAUCACAGAACCCAUUCAAAACAGCCUGUAGAGCUAAUGUUUUCUUUUUUUUUUUUUUUUCCUUUUUUUACCCUUUUUUUUUUUUUUUUUUUUCAGAAAGAAAUGAGGCUCAGAGAAACACCUAUGAAAUGUAAUUGUACAUGACAGCCCAUGUCAGAGUUCAGCAAUGAAAACUGAAUUUCUUCAAAGAUGUGCUGCUGCAGACUCUGCAGAACUAAGACAAAAAAAAUGAGUAGAUAUGGUGCAUCAUGGAUAUGGACCAGGAAAGAAUCUGAGAAGGAACACCUUGGCAAAACUGCCUUGCAUUAAACACCAAAGCCUUGAAGAGCUAUGUGAUGUUCUGAAAUGAAAAUUCCUCCAUACCAAACGGAUGAUUUAUUCUAAUA